GGAAGAUAUCUAUUAAUAUAUAAAGUGAAAGUAUUGGGUCAGACCGUCUGACCCAAUAUUCUCGUCAGACGGGCUGAGCCCAGUUUUAUAAUAUACAGCAAAGGAGAAAAGAAAGAGGAAAAAGAAAAAGGAAAAGAACGUUCAAAAUAGAAAAAUCAAAAUAUCCAAAACUACAGACCCAUUUUCUCUCCUUCUUCUUCGCUGAAACUUCCCUUGCUUUGCUGAAACAAAAUUGUGAUGUUUUUGGAUUAUGAUGGCACUCUCUCUCCUAUUGUUGAUGACCCUGAUCGAGCUUUUAUGUCUGAUGCUAUGAGGAGGACAGUGAGAAAAUUAGCUAGAUAUUUUCCCACAGCAAUUAUGAGCGGAAGAUGUGGAGACAAAAUGUACAGUUUUGUUAAACUGGCAGAAGAGGAAUGAAGAAGAAGGAGAAAGUGAGAGAAAGCAGAGGUUAGUGUUUUUUGGUUUUCAGUUGGACUUUGUUUUGUUUCAGUUGGACUUUGUUUUUUUUCAGUUGGACUUUGUUUUCUUUCAGUUGGAGUUUGUUUUCUUUCAGUUGGACUUUGUUUUCUUUCAGUUGGACUUUGUGUUUCUUUCAGUUGGACUUUGUUUUGUUUCAGUUAGACUUUGUUUUUUUUUCAGUUGGACUACCUGAAAAAAAAAUGAAGACUACCUGAAAAAGAAUGAAGACUACCUGAAAAAAAAUGAAGACUACCUGAAAAAGAAUAAAGACCAACUGAAAUCCAAAGUAAAUCUAACUGAAGUACAAAAACCAACUGAAAAAAAAAAGACUAACUGAAAACAAAAUGAAGACUACCUGAAAAUAAAUGAAGACUACCUGAAAAAGAAUAAAGACCAACUGAAACCCAAAGUAAGUCUAACUGAAGUACAAAAACCAACUGAAAAAAAAGAAGACUAACUGAAAACAAAA